GACGAACGCUGGCGGCGUGCUUAACACAUGCAAGUCGAACGGAAGGGCCCUGCUUGCCGGGUACUCGAGUGGCGAACGGGUGAGUAACACGUGGGUGAUCUGCCCUGCACUUCGGGAUAAGCUUGGGAAACUGGGUCUAAUACCGGAUAGGACCGCACUUUAGUGUGUGUGGUGGAAAGUUUUUUCGGUGUAGGAUGAGCUCGCGGCCUAUCAGCUUGUUGGUGGGGUAAUGGCCUACCAAGGCGGCGACGGGUAGCCGGCCUGAGAGGGUGUACGGCCACAUUGGGACUGAGAUACGGCCCAGACUCCUACGGGAGGCAGCAGUGGGGAAUAUUGCACAAUGGGCGCAAGCCUGAUGCAGCGACGCCGCGUGGGGGAUGAAGGCCUUCGGGUUGUAAACUCCUUUCGCUAGGGACGAAGCUUUUUGUGACGGUACCUAGAUAAGAAGCACCGGCUAACUACGUG
rnacentral:rRNA from 1 species